rnacentral:rRNA from 1 species
CCUACGGGGGGCUGCAGUGGGGAAUAUUGCACAAUGGGCGCAAGCCUGAUCCAGCCAUGCCGCGUGAGUGAUGAAGGCCCUAGGGUUGUAAAGCUCUUUCACCGAUGAAGAUAAUGACUGUAGUCGGAGAAGAAGCCCCGGCUAACUCCGUGCCAGCAGCCGCGGUAAUACGGGGGGGGCAAGCGUUGUUCGGAAUUACUGGGCGUAAAGCGCGUGUAGGCGGCUCAGUAAGGUUGCGGUGAAAGCCCGGGGCUCAACCCCGGGUCGGCCGUGGCAACUGCUGAGCUGGAGCACUGUAGAGGCAGACGGAAUUCCGGGUGUAGCGGUGGAAUGCGUAGAGAUCCGGAGGAAGACCGGUGGCGAAGGCGGUCUGCUGGGCAGUUUCUGACACUGAUGCGCGAAAGCGUGGGGAGCAAACAGGAUUAGAUACCCGAGUAGUC